UUGAAUUGAAGAGUUUGAUCCUGGCUCAGAUUGAACGCUGGCGGCAUGCCUUACACAUGCAAGUCGAACGCGAAAGGGGGCAACCCCGAGUAGAGUGGCGAACGGGUGAGCAAUACAUCGGAACAUUUCCUGUAGCGGGGGACAACCCCGAGAAA
rnacentral:rRNA from 1 species